UAAUACGUAGGGUGCGAGCGUUGUCCGGAAUUAUUGGGCGUAAAGAGCUCGUAGGCGGCCUGUCACGUCGGAUGUGAAAACCCGGGGCUCAACCCCGGGCCUGCAUCCGAUACGGGCAGGCUAGAGUGUGGUAGGGGAGAUCGGAAUUCCUGGUGUAGCGGUGAAAUGCGCAGAUAUCAGGAGGAACACCGGUGGCGAAGGCGGAUCUCUGGGCCAUUACUGACGCUGAGGAGCGAAAGCGUGGGGAGCGAACAGGAUUAGAUACCCUGGUAGUCCACGCCGUAAACGGUGGGCACUAGGUGUGGGCGACAUUCCACGUCGUCUGCGCCGCAGCUAACGCAUUAAGUGCCCCGCCUGGGGAGUACGGCCGCAAGGCUA
rnacentral:rRNA from 1 species